rnacentral:rRNA from 1 species
UACGAAGGGGACUAGCGUUGUUCGGAAUCACUGGGCGUAAAGCGCACGUAGGCGGAUUCGUAAGUUAGGGGUGAAAUCCCGGGGCUCAACCUCGGAACUGCCUUUGAUACUGCGGGUCUCGAGUCCGAUAGAGGUGGGUGGAAUUCCUAGUGUAGAGGUGAAAUUCGUAGAUAUUAGGAAGAACACCGGUGGCGAAGGCGGCAUCCUGGACCAAUACUGACGCUGAGGAGCGAAAGCCAGGGGAGCAAACGGG